rnacentral:rRNA from 1 species
AUGGUGACCCCAUCCCUCCGCUCCUUCCUCCCAUCCAUGGCGGCGAGCGAGCCAGCCAAAUCAACCCUUGUUCCCGAAAGCAGCGAAGAGAUGAUCAAGUGUGAGAAGAUCACCAUCAUGGGGGCCGUCACCUGCACCCUCCUGACGGCCUGGAACCUCUCCAAGGGCAAGCCCCACUUCGACGAGCCGCCGGCCUACCCCUACCUCCACAUCCACAACACGGAGUUUCCAUGGGGGACCAAGCAGUGCUGCUGGUUCCUUGAGGCCGGAUCAAGUAAGAUGGUGCACCACGACGUGCGGCACGGGUAA